rnacentral:rRNA from 1 species
UACGUAGGGGGCUAGCGUUGUCCGGAAUCAUUGGGCGUAAAGCGCGCGUAGGCGGCCAGAUAAGUCCGGUGUGAAAGUCACAGGCUCAACCUGUGAAUGCCGCUGGAAACUGCCUGGCUUGAGUCCGGAAGGGGCGAGUGGAAUUCCUGGUGUAGCGGUGGAAUGCGCAGAUAUCAGGAAGAACACCCGUGGCGAAGGCGGCUCUCUGGGACGGUACUGACGCUGAGACGCGAAAGCUAGGGGAGCGAACAGG